UUCGCAAUGCCCGAAAGGGUGACGAAGCGACGCCGCGUGCGGGAAGAAGGCCUUCGGGUUGUAAACCGCUGUCGGGAGUUAAGAAAUGCAAGGGUGUUAACAGCAUCCUUGCUUGACUAAGGCUCCGGAGGAAGCCACGGCUAACUCUGUGCCAGCAGCCGCGGUAAUACAGAGGCGGCAAGCGUUGUUCGGAAUUAUUGGGCGUAAAGAGCACGUAGGCGGCUGUGUAAGUCGGUUGUGAAAGCCUUCCGCUCAACGGGAGAACGGCAUCCGAUACUGCAUGGCUUGAGUGCGGGAGGGGAGAGUGGAACUUCUGGCGGAGCGGUGAAAUGCGUAGAUAUCAGAAGGAACACCGGCGGCGAAGGCGACUCUCUGGCCCGUAACUGACGCUGAGUGUGCGAAAGCUAGGGGAGCAAACGGGAUUAGAUACCCCGGUAGUCCUAGCCGUAAACGAUGGGCACUAAGUAGAGGGGUUUU
rnacentral:rRNA from 1 species